UCCGUAGGGUGCAAGCGUUGUCCGGAAUUAUUGGGCGUAAAGAGCUCGUAGGCGGUCUGUCGCGUCUGCUGUGAAAACUCGGGGCUUAACUCCGGGCCUGCAGUGGGUACGGGCAGACUAGAGUGCGGUAGGGGAGACUGGAAUUCCUGGUGUAGCGGUGAAAUGCGCAGAUAUCAGGAGGAACACCGGUGGCGAAGGCGGGUCUCUGGGCCGUAACUGACGCUGAGGAGCGAAAGCGUGGGGAGCGAACAGG
rnacentral:rRNA from 1 species